AAGGUGAUCUUCACUUACCGUUGCAUUUGCAUGAAAGGUGGCUAUGCCAGUGAAGGCAAAGACAACACCAGUUCACUGGACACUGAUAAUACAUGAAUCUUUAACAAUCAUAAACCCAAAAGGAUUCUUCAUCUGCUAUGGUCAAGAGAAUCAUUUGAUUAUUUAAUAAUAUAGAUGAAUUUAACAGCUUAUCUGAGUUUAUGCAAAGCUGACCAAAUAACAAUUGUAAAAUGCAGCAUUCGCUGAGGAGGAACGGGCUGCUGCUUUUUCCCACAAGAAAGAUGAGAAUGAGGUUAACAAUAUGCAAAUCAAUACACCUCCACAUGCCAUUGCUUGUUCUUCUUGAGCUGUGAAAGCUUCUGCUCCCAGCUUUCUCCUCUCUG
rnacentral:misc_RNA from 1 species